rnacentral:rRNA from 1 species
GACGAACGCUGGCGGCGUGCCUAAUACAUGCAAGUCGAACGCAGUGGGGACGGGUGAGUAACACGUGGGUAACCUCCCAUCAGAGGGGAUACCACUUUGAAACAGUUGCUAUACCGAUACUGAUGGAUGGACCCGCAGUGCAUUAGCUUGUUGGUGCGGUAACGGCUCACCAAGGCCACGAUGCAUAGCCGACCUGAGAGGGUGAUCCGCCACACUGGGACUGAGACACGGCCCAGACUCCUACGGGAGGCAGCAGUAGGGUAUCUUCGGCAAUGGACUAAAGUCUAACCGAGCAACGCCGCGUGAGUGAAGAUGGUUUUCGGAUCGUAAAACUCUGUGGUUAGAGAAGCGGGAUCUAACCAGAAAGCCACGGCUAACAACGUGCCAGCAGCCGCGGUAAUUC